rnacentral:rRNA from 1 species
CCUACGGGAGGCAGCAGUGAGGAAUAUUGGUCAAUGGGCGAGAGCCUGAACCAGCCAAGUCGCGUGAGGGAGUACUGCCCUAUGGGUUGUAAACCUCUUUUGUCGGGGAGCAAAAGCCGGACGUGUCCGGCUGUGAGAGUACCCGAAGAAAAAGCAUCGGCUAACUCCGUGCCAGCAGCCGCGGUAAUACGGAGGAUGCGAGCGUUAUCCGGAUUUAUUGGGGUGAAAGGGUGCGCAGGCGGAUUUUUAAGUCAGCGGUCAAAUCGUGGGGCUCAACCCCAUCCAGCCGUUGAAACUGGGGAUCUAGAGUGUGCGAGAGGUAUGCGGAAUGCGUGGUGUAGCGGUGAAAUGCAUAGAUAUCACGCAGAACCCCGAUUGCGAAGGCAGCAUACCGGUGCACAACUGACGCUCAGGCACGAAAGCGUGGGUAUCGAACAGGAUUAGAUACCCCUGUAGUC